CCUACGGGUGGCAGCAGUGGGGGAUAUUGCACAAUGGGGGGGACCCUGAUGCAGCGACGCCGCGUGGGUGAAGGAGCGUUUCGGCGCGUAAAGCCCUAUCGGCAGGGAAGAAGAUGACGGUACCUGACCAAGAAGCCCCGGCUCACUACGUGACAGCCGCCGCGGUAAUCCGUAGGGGGCAAGCGUUAUACGGAUUUACUGGGUGUAAAGGGGGCGCAGGCGGACAUGCAAGCCAGUAGUGAAAUCCCGGGGCCCAACCCCGGGACUGCACUUGGAACUGCAUGUCUGGAGUACAGGAGGGGCAGGCGGAAUUCGUAGUGUAGCGGUGAAAUGCGUAGAUAUUAGGAGGAACACCGGUGGCGAAGGCGGCCUGCUGGACUGUGACUGACGUUGAGGCCCGAAGGUGUGGGGAGCAAACAGGAUUAGAUACCCUUGUAGUC
rnacentral:rRNA from 1 species